AAUCAUCCACAGCCUAGCAGAUGAACAACACUCCCUGAACCCAGGAAGCAGGAGGGUGAUCACCUGUUGGGAGCUAUUAAGACAACACAAUUGUCCUGAUCUCUGAAUUGGGCCUCUCCCCCCAAGAAGAAAAAGGGGUCAAAAGCGGGCCACCGACACACCGUUCCGAGAACAACCACAGAAUGUUCCAGCCCUAAAUCAGCGCCAGAUAUCUGGACCACACCCUGAUACCACCAAGUUCCAGCUUCCCCGUGUAACUGCCAAAAGAAAAAUUUCCACUGCCCCACCCCUCCCGCUGAUAAGUACUUGUACUUCCCCUUUUGCUUGUGCAUUUAAGCCUUGAGCCUUUCUCAAUACAGCGGGACCUUCUUGCCACUCA